rnacentral:tRNA from 1 species
CGGGUAGUAGCGCAGCUGGUAGCGCACUACGUUCGGGACGUAGGGGUCGCUGGUUCGAAUCCAGUCUACCCGACAA